AACGAACGCUGGCGGCAUGCCUAACACAUGCAAGUCGAACGAGACCUUCGGGUCUAGUGGCGCACGGGUGCGUAACGCGUGGGAACCUGCCUUUAGGUUCGGAAUAACUCCCCGAAAGGGGUGCUAAUACCGGAUAAUGUCUUCGGACCAAAGAUUUAUCGCCUUUAGAUGGGCCCGCGUAAGAUUAGGUAGUUGGUGGGGUAAAGGCCUACCAAGCCGACGAUCUUUAGCUGGUCUGAGAGGAUGAUCAGCCACACUGGGACUGAGACACGGCCCAGACUCCUACGGGAGGCAGCAGUGGGGAAUAUUGGACAAUGGGCGAAAGACCUGAUCCAGCAAUGCCGCGUGAGUGAUGAAGGCCUUAGGGUUGUAAAGCUCUUUUACCAGGGAUGAUAAUGACAGUACCUGGAGAAUAAGCUCCGGCUAUCUCCGUGCCAGCAGCCGCGGUAAUACGGAGGGAGCUAGCGUUGUUCGGAAUUACUGGGCGUAAAGCGCACGUAGGCGGCGAUU
rnacentral:rRNA from 1 species